GGACUACUGGGGUAUCUAAUCCGGUUUGCUCCCCCAGCUUUCAUCCCUCACCGUCGAGCGCGUUCUGGCAAGCCGCCUUCGCCACUGGUGGUCUUCAGUGGAUCAACGGAUUUUACCCCUACCCACUAAGUACCGCUUGCCUCUCCUGCCUCCUAGCUCUGUAGUAUCUCCAGCGGCCCAUCUGUUGAGCAGGUGGAUUUAACCGAAGACUUGCAAAGCCGGCUACGGAUGCUUUAGGCCCAAUAAACGUCCUGACCACUCGAGGUGCUGGUAUUACCGCGGCUGCUGACAC
rnacentral:misc_RNA from 1 species